UACGGAGGGGGCUAGCGUUGUUCGGAAUUACUGGGCGUAAAGGGUGCGUAGGCGGCGAUCCAAGUCAGGCGUGAAAGCCCCGGGCUCAACCUGGGAGGUGCGCUUGAUACUGGAUUGCUCGAGUCCGGGAGAGGAUAGCGGAAUUCCCAGUGUAGAGGUGAAAUUCGUAGAUAUUGGGAAGAACACCGGUGGCGAAGGCGGCUAUCUGGACCGGCACUGACGCUGAGGCACGACAGCGUGGGGAGCAAAC
rnacentral:rRNA from 1 species